GGACAGGGCUGGUUCCAGCGUACGCACGCCACUUCCUGGGCUUGGGGGGUGGUACGUCAGAGGCUACCCGUAGCAGGAAGCCCCCGCAGAGGCUAGGGCAUCUUCUUCCACUUGGCAGAGACCACAGAAGGGAGCCAGGGGACAGCAUCAGAGCCUGGGGACCGGCAGGGGUGCCCAAGGGCACAGCAGCUGCAGGCCAUUGGCAAGGCCAGAAGAUGGUUUUUGUCUGGACCUCCGAGAGCUUCAUCUCCCUGGCCAGCCUCUUCCGCUCCAGAGGGCCCAGGUACUGGUGGUGCCGGAAGACGCCCUCCAAGGAAGAGAGGGAGACAACAAGACCACAAAGGAGGCAAGAGCAGAGCUGGGGUUAAAAAACAGGAAAUGAGCCCUCUGUGCAUGCCAUGCUUAAUAAGGUAAUAAAAAGGUAAGAUUAUAAAGAAGGAAGAGUCCUAUCAAGGAAAAAGGCUCUUUAUUUGCUUUGCUGUCAUGUUAUUCUUCCCAUUCCACUGGCGUCCAACACAUAUAUGGUAAGUGGCUGAAUGGCAGUUACCUGAAUGGCGGUAAUAGAAGAAUGAAUGAAGGUUGCAUGAAUUAGGAAAUGAAUUUGCAGUGUCCUCGAUGUUGUUGUAGUCUUGUGAUGAAAAGCAACCCAUCUUCCUCUCAAGAGGUGUUUAGCUUGUUCUUAAAAACAGAGCUGCUACUUGGUCUAUAAGUGCUACUGGGGUGUGGCAGCAACCUGGGGCUGGGAGUCUUGGGCUCUACCUUGAUGUAUUGGGUCACGUUAGAUUGGCAGCCUAUAGUUUAUUUGCAUUCACCACUGGUUUGCAUACACAACUGGGCACAUUUUGGGAGCCAUGUAAAUAUUCAUGUAUAAAUUAGUCUCCCUAUGCCUUUGAUGCCUCAGUUUCCCCAGUUGUAAAAUAGUAUAUUACACUGGAAAGAUCCUCUUCAGGCCUUCUCCCAAUUAUGCAUGAAAAUACUUUGGCAGGCCGGGAGUGGUGGCUCAUGCCUGUAAUCCCAGCACUUUGGGAGACUGAGGUGGGUGGAUCAUUUGAGGUCAGGAGUUCAAGACCAGCCUAGCCAACAUGGUGAAACCCCAUCUCUACUAAAAAUACAAAAAAAUUAGGUGGGUGUGGUGGCAUGCACCUGUAGUCCCAGCUACUUGGGAGACUGAGGUAGGAGAAUCUCUUGAACCCGUGAAGCAGAGGUUGCAGUGAGCUGAGAUCACGCUACUGCACUCCAGCCUGCAGAGGGAGACCAAGACUUACAACAACAACAACAACAACAACAACAAAACUUUGGCAGUAUGCUGUUCACAAGAAUGGGACCAGGCCUGUGGAGCUUUCUAACACCUUCAGGCACAAUCUUUAUAAACACUAGAGAGCAUUACCUUGUCUUUCCUGGAAACUUCUAGGUGUUAGGAAGUCCUAGCAAGAGUCCUCAGGGGUCGUAAUCAUCAUCUUACGGCUGAAUAAGCCGGUUGCUUAUUCAGCAAUAAUAAGUAACACUGAGUGCUAUGUAAAUAUCAAGCCCUUUCCUAGACGCUUAUGCUUACUUCAUUUAAUCCUCACAACAUGAGGCAGGUAAGUACUAUUGGUAUUCCCGUCUUAUAGAUGAGAAAACUGAGCCCCAGUUAGAUUACAUUACUAAGUUUUCCAAGACUUACAGCUGACAAGUAGAAGAGCCAGGAUAUGAACCCAAGCAGUUAAGCUCCAGAAGUUCUCUUCUAGCCAUUGAGUUGUACUGGUGGUUCUUUAGCAACUGCUAACACAGUAUGAGAGUUUUACAGGAAUCUUGAGCAAGCUUUGCUAUUAAAGGAAAUGUUCUACAGUUGUCUCUGUAAUUUUUCUUGAAGAGAUUCCAGUGGGAGGAAGUACAUGGCUAGUAACAGUUCUAUUCUUCUUGUUAAGGGCACAGGGCUGGGACAUCAUAGCAACAUUCUUCACUACAUCAUAAGUCUACUUAUGUUAAUGUAUGUAGCAGCCACUCUGAAACUCUGCAUUUCUGCUUGUUAAAAAGGAGGUGAAAAAUGACCAACAACACAAACUUCGAGAAACAUAUGCAAAUAAUACAGUUGUAUUCAAUCUCAACUUUUAUUGUAGCUUCCCUAUAAGCAGUUCUGAGAUUAUAAAUACAGUUGUCUCUCUGUAUUGUCAGGAGAUUGAUUCCAGGACACCCAUGGGUACCAAAAUCCACAGAUGCUCAAGUCUCUGAUAUAAAAUGGUAUAGUGUUUGCAUAUAACCUACACACAUCCUCUUGUAUACUAUAAAUCAUGUCUAGAUAACUUAUAAUACCUAAUACAAUGUAUAUGCUAUGUAAACAGUUGUUAUACUGUAUUUUUUUCACUUGUAUUCUUUUGAUUGUUGUAUUGUUAGUUUUAAUUAUUAUUAUUUUUCAAAUAUUUUCA
rnacentral:lncRNA from 1 species